rnacentral:lncRNA from 1 species
GAGGGGACUGUUGCAGACAUGGGGCAGCGAGCAAGGACGCCCAGAGCCACAGGGAGGAUAGGAACAAAGGACUGAGUCUCACAACAAGCCAGGCUAAGUCAAGCAGAACUGGAGGAGUCAGGAGGGGAAAACAGUCGGGCCCCUCCAGCUAAGAGUGAGAUGUGGAGUGUGAGAGGAAGAGGCCGGAUGCAGUGGCUCACACCUGUAAUCCCAGCACUUUGGGAGGCCGAGGCGGGCAGAUCACCUGAGGUCUGGAGAUAGAGACCAUCCUGGCCAACAUGGUGAAACACCGUCUCUACUAAAAAUACAAAAAUUAGCUGGGUGUGGCGGUGCGCGCCUGUAGUCCCAGCUACUCAGGAGGCUGAGGCAUAAGAAUCUCUUGAACCUGGGAGGCGGCAGAGGUUGCAGUGAGCCUAGAUUGGGCCACUACACUCCAGCCUGGGCAAGAGAGG